rnacentral:rRNA from 1 species
CCUACGGGAGGCAGCAGUGAGGAAUAUUGGUCAAUGGACGAGAGUCUGAACCAGCCAAGUAGCGUGAAGGAUGACUGCCCUAUGGGUUGUAAACUUCUUUUAUAAAGGAAUAAAACGAGGCACGUGUGCCUUUUUGCAUGUACUUUAUGAAUAAGGAUAGGCUAACUCCGUGCCAGCAGCCGCGGUAAUACGGAGGAUCCGAGCGUUAUCCGGAUUUAUUGGGUUUAAAGGGAGCGUAGUUGGGUUGUUAAGUCAGUUGUGAAAGUUUGCGGCUCAACCGUAAAAGUUCAAUUGAUACUGGCAGUCUUGAGUACAGUUGAGGUAGGCGGAAUUCGAGGUGUAGCGGUGAAAUGCUUAGAUAUAACGAAGAACCCCGAUUGCGAAGGCAGCUUACUAAACUGUGACUGACACUGAUGCUCGAAAGUGUGGGUAGCAAACAGGAUUAGAUACCCUUGUAGUC